CAGUAUGUAAGAAAGCAAGAAUUGUCAGGAGUAGUAAUAAGUGGAGUAUAGAGAUGCAGUAGGAAAUCAUGAGACCAUAGGUGUCGAUGNGGGGGAGAACCGGGUGCAGUAUGUAAGAAAGCAAGAAUUGUCAGGAGUAGUAAUAAGUGGAGUAUAGAGAUGCAGUAGGAAAGCAUGAGACCAUAGGUGUCGAUGAUCGAGUAAAAAGGGGUUACAUCGGAGCUUGCGGGUCCGGUGGUGCAUGCCGCAAGUGCGGAAAGGAGGGGCACUGUGCACGGGAUUGUUGGCAGUCAGUGCCAAUUCGGGAUUUGAGGAGGACAGGAUGGAGCGGAGCCCCAGAGGGCUCAGGGUCGUGUUUAUCUGCGUGCGACAGAGGGAGACGGAGCAGUGCCGGAGGCAGCUGCGGGUAUGAUGCUUUCAUGAUGUCUUAAUUGUCUUGCAUUGAUUUGGCGUAUUGUUUGUGCUGGUAUCUUGUAUGGAUUUCGAUGCGGUAUUCGUUGUUUCGCGGGUCUGGCAUGGUUAUGGAUUGGUGCUUCAGGUUUUCGCUUUGGCAUACGUUAUUCCCUGAUGGUUGGGUAUGGUUAUAAUUGGUGUUUUAGUGUCAGUAGUCUUGUGCGGUUUUCGAUGUGGUGUUCAUCCUUUGGGCAGAUUGUGAGUUUGGUUAUGGGUUAUUGUCGAGGAUUCCUUUGGUUAUCGUUCGUGGGGGUUGUUAGGGGAGAUGCGGCACUGGGUUGAUUGUCGGGUAGCAUCUACAGUCGUGGAGUGGAUGAUUGAAGGACUAGAUUCUUGUGAGUGGGUUGAUCAGGGAGGAGGUGUGUUUUGCUGAGGGUUGCUUGUGCUUGUGGGAAGCAGUCAGUGUGUAAUUGUUCUCUUUGUACAGGAUUGUUCUGUAAGGUCGUUAAUGACGAUCGGUGGCAGUUAGUCAGUGCUUUAGUGGAGGGGAGAAUUAGAAAAUUCUCCGGAAGAUCGAUGAGUAUGUGAGGGUGCCUAGCUGUUGGGAUUCAACAGUGUUUGUCAGCGCAGAGUAUGGGCCGACGGGAGCGAGUGUCGGGUAUGCGGGGCGGGAUACAGACCUAGGGCAUUCGAUUGUGGAGGCCUGAGAGAAGGCCGGGAUCAAGCUUGAGUAAGUAACCGGGGUUAUGUGAUCAGAGUAUUGGUAUGUUUGAGGUACGUGAUGGGUUGUACUGCGUUAAUCCCACGGGAUUUAUGUUGUGCAUGUUUCUAGAGUUGGAACCGGAAGGUUCCCAGAGUUCGAACCUGAGGGUUCGCAGAGUUGGGUGUACGGACCCACAGAGAUAUAGCCUCGAGUGGCUGGUAUGUGUUAUGAGAGUCGGUCCAGUCAUGCUGGAGACUCUGUUGGUAUUGCUGGAUCAGUUUGAGAUUACGGAUGGUGUAUGUGCAGUGUGAUUACAUUGGAAGGUCGGGCCCCGGGAUUGGUGAUCUUGUUUAGCUGAGGCAGUGAUUUUGAUGAGUGGAGAGAGUGCAUGAGAUUGAGAGCCCCUGCAAUGAGAACCAGAGUAUGUGGAUAGCGGUUACGCAAAAAGGGUGGUGUCGCUUGGGGCGAGCACCGUGGCACCGGUUGGAGUGGCAUUAUGGCCAAGAGGGUUCCUUGGAAAAAGGAAAAGAGGAAGGUGUGUAACUCCGAAGGGGUGCAAGUUCACGAAAGUG
rnacentral:lncRNA from 1 species